ACGAUUAUCAAUUAUUAUGUAUGUAAAAAAAAUGUAUUAUAACCAUUGCUUUAUCGGAAUAUUCUUAUCUACGUUUUUAAACAUUGAAUAUGGGUACUUGUGUCUGAUUUACGAACAAUAACAUUGCACGCCGAAGUCUGCAAACAAAAGGUAUUUCUUUCAGAUGUCGUUUUGGAAAAAAAUAUAUGCGGUAAAAACGUGUGACCAGAUUCGAGAAAAAAAAAUUAGAAGCGUAUAUUUUUUUUAAACUGUGGGGUCGAAAUCACGUCCGAAGGCACUGGUAUCAGUCGUCACUCGUCAAAAAACCAAACACGUGUUGACGUGUACGAUUCGUCUACAGUGUACACAGUAGCUUUUUAGGUAGGUACGUUUAGUUAUAAUACAAUAAUAAGGCCUCUUCCAUAUAAUAUUUUCCGGGUAGAACAUUCGAUCGGUAUGAUAUACAAUAUCGACUGCUGCUUUGUCUGGUUUCCGGGUCGAUUGUUUCAUCGAACACAAUUAAUAAAAAGUCGUGAUGGUUCGUGCAGUCGUGGCCCGCGGGCGGGGAGCGCGGAGAAGCGACUGCGUUAGGAUUCUCUGGCACGCGUCAUACAUUACAAGUGUUUAGUGCACACACACACACACACACACACACACUACACACACACACCGAGCAGCAUUGGUGUAAGUACUCGACGGCGCCAAAACGUUAGAUAUAGUAUUAUAGGUACAUAAUGAAAAAAAAAUCCUGACGAUUGCCAUGGAAAUGUGCGCCGUGCCACACGUGACUCACUAUACAGACAGGUAUGGUUUACUGAUUUAGUAUUAUUAUUUAUUAUACAUGAUAUAGAUAUUAGAUACCUACCGCGCGUGCAGUAGGUACUCCGGACUCGAGCUGAACGUCUAAAGUGCAGUGGACUCCGUAUUUUCGGUUGAACGUGGCCGGUAUCCAUUGACAACCGACGACGGACCGGUUCGAGAACUCGAGCUCGUGGACCUCGACGAACCCGUUCAGGACGUCCGGACCGAAUGAUCUCAGCAUGCCGGGCAACAGGAAGUUGGCGAACGCGCACCCGCCCACAACGUACCAGGCCCAGCUGUCGUCAAACGUACGGUGUUGACGUUCCUGUCUCGAAUGUUGGUGAUGUUGGUCGCGGCACAUCAACGUUGAUGGUCCUAAAGUGUCACGAGAAACACAAUGUUAUAAAAAAUUUACAAACUACGACUCAACGAGUGAUGAAACGACACCGGUCUCGUGGAAACAGUGGCUUGGCCAAAGAGGUAUUUUGGAUGUUUAAACACUCGGGGCAUCGGCCGUAUUUAUGCAAAACAUAUAUGUAGCUAAUGAUUCAGAUUUCUAUAGAAUAUAUAAUCACUUUUUAGUAUGGUUCUA